ACGGGUGAGUAACGCGUGGGAAUCUACCGUGCCCUGCGAAAUAGCUCCGGGAAACUGGAAUUAAUACCGCAUACGCCCUACGGGGGAAAGAUUUAUCGGGGUAUGAUGAGCCCGCGUUGGAUUAGCUAGUUGGUGGGGUAAAGGCCUACCAAGGCGACGAUCCAUAGCUGGUCUGAGAGGAUGAUCAGCCACAUUGGGACUGAGACACGGCCCAAACUCCUACGGGAGGCAGCAGUGGGGAAUAUUGGACAAUGGGCGCAAGCCUGAUCCAGCCAUGCCGCGUGAGUGAUGAAGGCCUUAGGGUUGUAAAGCUCUUUCACCGGAGAAGAUAAUGACGGUAUCCGGAGAAGAAGCCCCGGCUAACUUCGUGCCAGCAGCCGCGGUAAUACGAAGGGGGCUAGCGUUGUUCGGAAUUACUGGGCGUAAAGCGCACGUAGGCGGGUAUUUAAGUCAGGGGUGAAAUCCCAGAGCUCAACUCUGGAACUGCCUUUGAUACUGGGUAUCUUGAGUAUGGAAGAGGUAAGUGGAAUUCCGAGUGUAGAGGUGAAAUUCGUAGA
rnacentral:rRNA from 1 species